GGGGUCUCUCCGGGCACUUCUGAUUUCUCCACCAAUAAAAACUCACCGCCACGAAAUAGCACGAAAGUGUUGAAAGUGGCGCUAAAUAACAGUUAAUCAAUCAUCCAUACCGAUAUACUUAGGGAGCUACCAUUUGAUUUUUAUGGGGGGGGGGGGGGGGGCUAGGAUGAAAAAUUUUGUACUGCAUUUUUUUUUUAGCUGUAAUCUCUGUCCUGCAUUUUUAUUUUUCACUCUGUUUGGUCCUGCCUUUUUUUUUUAGUUUAUCCUGACUUUUUUUACCUAAAUUGUCGUCCUGACUUUUUUUUUUGCAAGUGUCUCAUCCUGCCUUUUUUUUAAUCAAAACUCCUGUCCUGCCUAUUUCUUUCAAAUUUCAUCCUAGCCCC
rnacentral:lncRNA from 1 species